UCAAAUAUUACUUUGGCGCCAUCUCAUGGAAUCUUGGUGUAGUUGUUGGGCUUAAUUGAUGGUGUGUUUUGCUGCUGCUGCUGCUGCUUUUGAGAUGUCCUGUUUUGUCAGUGGUCCUUGAAUGCCUCUUGUGCACAGUCAAAAGUCAAACUAAAAGUAUCUUUCUGCUUCUCUCCUGAAUCAUCUACGAAUGGCUGCUGUUCUUUUGUUUUUUGUUGUUGUUCUAUUUUGUUAGUGUUCCCUAACAUUUACUGUGUGAAUAACAAAAGUCUGCAUCUAUUUCUGGACGCCGAUUGCUUCGCAAACCUCUGCAGUCCUGACUCUGCUCAGCUUGGGCGUCGUGUCAUUGCACUGCCACAAUCGUCAAGAUGCUUGAAGAAUGCUAAAAAUGGGAGAAAACAAAUGAACGGCUGAGAGUCUUCACUUCACUCAGCCUCUAAUGACAGCGAUGCUGAAUAAUGAAUGCUGGGAAAAUUCACCCCACAUCCUUGAGGAAUUGCAAGUGACUCACAAUGAGUCCUGGGUAGUAGCCGCCCACUGUGAUGUUUUGCGUUCUGGUCGUCGCUGCCAGGCCGAAGAUGAGGAUGAGCAAGGAUACGAUGAGCAGCAUCACCGUGACGAUGAUGGAUUUCCUCUUCC